AUGCCUUUGCAGGGAAGAACAAUUAAGUCUGUCCUUCUAGUAGCAGGGCCAAAAGUAUAUUCUGAUGCAGCUUUCCAGUGCAAAAAAGUCCCAUGUUUACCACAAGGUGCUGCUGCUACUGGUAUUGGUGUUUACCUAUCCUUGCCGCAGGAUCAGAUGGAAGCUAAUGUACAGAUUCAAGCCUCUGCUAUUAUCACAAAUUCUCCUUUGCAAGCUGAAGCCUUGUCCCUCCUUUUAGCAGCUCAAGUGGCCAAAAGGCUAUGCAUUUCUCAGCCCACUUUCCUUACUGAUAGUCUGUCUUUGGCGUCAUGGGCGGCUAGCCGAAAGAUUAAGGAAUCUACUACUCCUUGA
rnacentral:rRNA from 1 species